UGCUUGCUCUUCACGACUUUGUCGGGAAGGUUGGUAGUAUCGCCCCCUUUACAGCCCUUCG
rnacentral:rRNA from 1 species